AGGAAUGUAGCUCAGUGGUAGAGUGCUUGCCUCUCAUGCAUGAAGCCCUGUAUUCCAUUCCUC
rfam:Dipodomys ordii contig_2803, whole genome shotgun sequence.